rnacentral:rRNA from 1 species
GAUGAACGCUGGCGGCGUGCCUAAUACAUGCAAGUCGAGCGAACAGACGAGGAGCUUGCUCCUCUGACGUUAGCGGCGGACGGGUGAGUAACACGUGGAUAACCUACCUAUAAGACUGGGAUAACUUCGGGAAACCGGAGCUAAUACCGGAUAAUAUAUUGAACCGCAUGGUUCAAUAGUGAAAGACGGUUUUGCUGUCACUUAUAGAUGGAUCCGCGCCGCAUUAGCUAGUUGGUAAGGUAACGGCUUACCAAGGCAACGAUGCGUAGCCGACCUGAGAGGGUGAUUGGCCACACUGGAACAGAGACACGGUCCAGACUCCUACGGGAGGCAGCAGUAGGGAAUCUUCCGCAAUGGGCGAAAGCCUGACGGAGCAACGCCGCGUGAGUGAUGAAGGUCUUCGGAUCGUAAAACUCUGUUAUUAGGGAAGAACAAAUGUGUAAGUAACUAUGCACGUCUUGACGGUACCUAAUCAGAAAGCCACGGCUAACUACGUG